rnacentral:rRNA from 1 species
AUGGCCCUCCUCACCGUCGCCGCCCGCCGCGCCACUGCCCUGCUACGCCCCAGGGCCGCCGCUGCACCGUUCUCGUCGAUCAGGCGCAGGCCCUAUUCAUUCUCCACCUCCUCGAUCCGCUCCCUCCGCGCCGAGGCCGCCUCCUGCCGCACCGAAAUCGCAUCCUACCGAGCCGAAGCCGUCAGCUUCCGUGCCAAGGCCGACUCACUCCGCGCCGCCACGCACGACAGCGAGCUCCUCGGCGUAAUCGACUCCGCGAUGCACUCCUACAACGGCAAUCUGGUACGCUGUAUCUUCGCGCCAUGGCCCUCCUCACUGUCGCCGCCCGCCGCGCCUCUGCCCUGCUACGCCCCAAGGCCGCCGCUGCGCCGUUCUCGUCCUCCUCCUCGAUCCUCCUCCUCCUCGAUCCGCUCCCUCCGCGCCGAGGCCGCCUCCUGCCGCGCCGAAGCCGCAUCCUACCGAGCCGAGGCCGUCAGCUUCCGUGCCAAGGCUGACUCACUCCACGCCGCCACGCAUGACGGCGAGCUCCUCGGCGUAAUCGACUCCUCGAUGCACUCCUACAACGGCAACCUGGCCGAGGAGAUUUCGAGUGAGUUCCCUUUUGAAAUCAGCAAAAUCGAGGAGCUUACCAGGACCGACGUUACUCUUACAAGAUGUUUAAAGGGUGAGAAGAUUGAGGUGUUGGUUUCCAUGCCCAGACUUGCCAGUGAUGAGGAGGACGUCGAUCUGCAGGAAUCCUCAAACUCGUCAUCGUCAUCUUCAGACGAAACCUCAUCAUCUUCAGACAACGAGACCUCAUCAUCUUCAGACAACUCUUCAUGGUAUUCAGAUGAAACCUCAUCCUCUUCAGAUAACGACACCUCAUCAUCUUCAGACGAGUCCUCAUCUUCAGAUGAGUCAUCAUCAUCUUCGAAAGAUGAAGCCAAGAACCGUACAGGAGAAUACAACCUCCCUAUUCGCAAGAAAAUAGAACACAGCCUCCCUCUCACGGUCACUGUGUCGAAGCCUGAUGGCUCAAGCAUGAAAUUUGCCUGUGACGCCUAUCACGACGAGAUCACCAUCGAUACCGUGUCUGUGAGGCAGCGACCAUCAGGAGCCGAGGAAGGCGAUAAUAAUGCAUAUGAUGAGGGUCCUGAUUUCAGUGAUCUGGAUGAGAACCUUCAGGAGGGACUCCACAAGUACCUGGAGGAGAUUACUGCGUUGGAAUUUGCAAACAGAAAAGAAGAGAAAACUAGCUCGAAGCUUUCAGGUUCGGAAGUGCUUGACAGCUGCCGCGCCAUGGCCAUCCUCGCCGCCGCCCGCCGGGCCUCCUCCCUUCUCCUCCUCCGCGCCUCCUGUGCACUGCUUCGCCCCGCUGCCUCUCCUUUGACGCCAAGAUCGCCUUGCUCAUCCCCCUUCUUCGACAGCGCCAAGAUGGCCUUGCUCAAAGCCGCGUUGGACUUGGACUCCAUCGCCGCCGAGACCGGCUCCUCUGCCUCCGCCGCCGCACAGCACUCCCUGCGCGCCGCGGCCGAUUCCCUCGGCGCCUCCACCUUUGACGACCAUCUCGUCCGCGACAUCGACUCCACGAUCAAGUCAUCCACCCGUCCCACCAAGAUGCAGGAGGCCGAGGGUUUCUUCCCCUUCAAAAUAGUACGUGAAAAUAGGUUGCUCAGUAGCAGCAGUACCCUUGAUAUUACUCUUGGAAGAACUUUUGAGGGAAGGAAGAUAUACUACGUAGAUCGGGGGGAAACCUUGUUGACGGCUUCGAGUCCACAACGCAUAUGCGGUGCCAUGGCCCUCCUCGCCGCCUCCCGCCGGGCCUCCUCCCUUCCCAUCCUCCGCCGAGCCUCCUCGGUGCUGCUCCGCCCCGUGGCCCCGCCGGUGCAGGCGAUCAGGCACAGCUCGUCCUCCUCCAUCCGCGGUGCGAAGACGGCCUUAAUGAACGCCACGAUGGACACCGUCAACGCCGAGCAUGGCUCCAGCGCCUGGGCCGCCGCGCUGGACUCACUCCGGGCCGCCACCGACUCCCUCAGCAACGCCUCCUUCGAGGACCAGCUCCUCCGCGGCAUCCACUCUGCCGUCAAGUCCUCCGAGCCGCCCCGUAUCGCCGAGAUGGAGGAUACCGCGGGUUGCUUCCCCUUCGAAGUCAGUGAAAACAGAUACUUUGUUGGCUACGAUUAUAAAAGAUACAUUACUCUCAAAAGAACUUUUGAGGACGAGAAGAUUGAGGUUGUGACUCGUACGGACUGCCUUGAGAGGGAUGGAAAAUGGUCUUUGGAAUCCUUACGCAUGCAGCUGGAACAUGGCAAAGGUGAGAAGAAGGCCUCAAGACCUAGCCUCACCUUUGAUGUCAUCGUCUCCAAGAGCAAUGGCUACAAACUUCAAUUCACCUGUGUUGCAUAUCCGGACGACGUCACCAUCAGUUCCAUGAAAUAUGACGCCCGGGGGAAAAACCCUCUUCACCGGCGCCAUGGCCCUCCUCGCCGCGGCCCGUCGGGCCUCCUCCCUACCCAUCCUCCGCCGGGCCUCCACGCUUCUCCGCCCCAAGUCCUCGUCGGCGAUGGUGAGCAGGUGGAGCUCGUCCUCGUUCCUCGACGCCGCAGUCUCCUCCUUCGAGUCCUCCGGCGCCUCCUCAUCGCCGCACUGGACUCUUACCGUCAGAGCACCGUGACCGAGGAGUCCGCCCGUACCGUGUUGGGCCCCCUCCGUGCCUUCUUGACCGAGACCGAAUCCCUGAGAGCCACUAUGUUCGACCUUGAGCUCCUCGGCGCCAUCGACUCCGCGAUCAAGUCCCGCAACAAGGACGACGGCGCGCCCCCCACCGAGCUCCAGUGUCUCCUCGCUAAGAUAGAGGACACCGGGGAUUACUUUCCCUUUGAAAUCUCUGAAAAUAAGUGUCGUGUCAGCAUUACACUUACAAGAACUUUAAAGGGCGAGAAGAUUGAGGUUGUGGCAUCAAAGCCCUGCUUGGACGACGACGAGAACAACUCCUCAUGCACCUCACAUGAGGAUGUAGAAUUGUCUUCGGCAUCCUCGAACGAGAAUCUAGAAGAAGACGGUGGCCAGAAGAACAAAUUAAGAUCUACCAUCAACCUAGAAGUCACCAUCUCCAAGGGCGAUGGCUCAAAGCUUGCGUUCACCUGCUUCGCGUAUCCCGACAAUAUCACCAUCCAUUCCAUGUGCAUGUUGUCGCGGACAGCUAAAGAUGAUGUUCAGGCUACAUAUUACGAGUUCGAUAAGCUCGAUGAGAACCUGCAGAAGUCAUUCGUGAAGUAUCUGGACCUGCGCGGGGUCACGCCAACGACGACAAACUUGUUGUGUGGGUACAUGAGCAGCAAGGUCCAGUCCAAGGAUCUUCUGAUGCUGACCAAGCUGCAGGAUUUCGUCAAGAAAGACUGA